AUUGAACGCUGGCGGCAGGCUUAACACAUGCAAGUCGAGCGGGGGAAGGUAGCUUGCUACUGGACCUAGCGGCGGACGGGUGAGUAAUGCUUAGGAAUCUGCCUAUUAGUGGGGGACAACAUCUCGAAAGGGAUGCUAAUACCGCAUACGUCCUACGAGAGAAAGCAGGGGAUCUUCGGACCUUGCGCUAAUAGAUGAGCCUAAGUCGGAUUAGCUAGUUGGUGGGGUAAAGGCCUACCAAGGCGACGAUCUGUAGCGGGUCUGAGAGGAUGAUCCGCCACACUGGGACUGAGACACGGCCCAUACUCCUACGGGAGGCAGCAGUGGGGAAUAUUGGACAAUGGGGGGAACCCUGAUCCAGCCAUGCCGCGUGUGUGAAGAAGGCCUUAUGGUUGUAAAGCACUUUAAGCGAGGAGGAGGCUACUCUAGUUAAUACCUAGGGAUAGUGGACGUUACUCGCAGAAUAAGCACCGGCUAACUCUGUGCCAGCCGCCGCAGUAA
rnacentral:rRNA from 1 species